rnacentral:rRNA from 1 species
CAAUAGCGUAUAUUAAAGUUGUUGCAGUUAAAAAGCUCGUAGUUGGAUUUCUUGGGUAGCAAGCGGGUCGGCACAAAGUGUCUGUACUAGCUUUGCUAUUCAAUCCUCGUAACAAGGUAUCGGUGAGUUAACUCCAUUCGGUGCUGAGUUGCGUCAUUUACUGUGAACAAAUUAGAGUGUUUAAAGCAGGCAAAUGCUGUGAAUACAUUAGCAUGGAAUAAUAAGAUAGGACCUAGAGUCUAUUUUGUUGGUUGCGAUUUUAGGUAAUGAUUAAUAGGGAUAGUUGGGGGUAUUCAUAUUCAAUUGUCAGAGGUGAAAUUCUUGGAUUUAUGGAAGAUGAACAACUGCGAAAGCAUUUACCAAGGAUGUUUUCAUUAA